GAACGCUGGCGGCAUGCCUUACACAUGCAAGUCGAACGGCAGCACGGGAGCAAUCCUGGUGGCGAGUGGGCGAACGGGUGAGUAAUAUAUCGGAACGUGCCCAGUCGUGGGGGAUAACGUAGCGAAAGCUACGCUAAUACCGCAUACGAUCUAUGGAUGAAAGCGGGGGAUCGCAAGACCUCGCGCGAUUGGAGCGGCCGAUAUCAGAUUAGGUAGUUGGUGAGGUAAAGGCUCACCAAGCCGACGAUCUGUAGCUGGUCUGAGAGGACGACCAGCCACACUGGGACUGAGACACGGCCCAGACUCCUACGGGAGGCAGCAGUGGGGAAUUUUGGACAAUGGGCGCAAGCCUGAUCCAGCAAUGCCGCGUGCAGGAUGAAGGCCUUCGGGUUGUAAACUGCUUUUGUACGGAACGAAACGGUGAGCUCUAAUACAGUUUGCUAAUGACGGUACCGUAAGAAUAAGCACCGGCUAACUACGUG
rnacentral:rRNA from 1 species